AAAGGAAGAAACAAAACCCAACUGUGCUGCAAAAGAUUAAAUAAUGCUUUGAGAUGGAUUGAAGUAAUAAAAAUAAUUAAACUUUAAUUCAUACAACUAGUGGUAUAAUUCAUACCUUUUAGUAUAAGACAUGACAAAAGGAUUAUAUAAAAUAAAACUUGCCCUUUUUUCCAUAGGUGAGCCUCCUUCACCAAAGAAGGGGAGUUAGGAGAGUUACAUCAAUUAUACAAUACAAAGAGCUGGUGCCAGAAGAUUGCCAUGUUCAGCUGUACUCAUAAAUCAAUGCAAGUUGCAGUGAAAUUUCCUUUUUAAAUUUAUUCUCAUGCAAGUCUCAAUUUAUUUGUCAAGAUUUCCAAUAGUCCAAUCUGCCAU